rnacentral:rRNA from 1 species
UACGGAGGAUGCAAGCGUUAUCCGGAAUCAUUGGGCGUAAAGCGUCCGUAGGUGGCUGUUCAAGUCUGCGGUCAAAGCACAAGGCUUAACCUUGUAAAGGCCGUGGAAACUGAAGAGGCUAGAGUGCGGUAGGGGUAGAGGGAAUUCCCAGUGUAGCGGUGAAAUGCGUAGAUAUCGGGAGGAACAUCGAUGGCGAAAGCAACCGUCUGGGCCUGAACUGACACUGAGACACGAAAGCGUGGGGAGCAAACAGG